AACACACACACACACACACACACACAUGUAAUCAGCUAUGAUGCUAGAAAGAUUUAUACUUUAAAAUGGCCUCAGUGUAAAGUAACAUGUAAUAGGAUUAAGAUACAAUUUAACACCCUCUGUCUCCCAAUUAAAGUUUUGGGCAUACACUGUACAAUACAGCCCGUGCCAAACAAGAUGAAUGAGGAAGGAUAAUGUGCAAACUUAAUGGCACCUAAAGAUGACUGUAUUGUACCUCAUGCCAUUA